GACGAACGCUGGCGGCGUGCUUAACACAUGCAAGUCGAACGGAAAGGCCCUGCUUGCAGGGUACUCGAGUGGCGAACGGGUGAGUAACACGUGGGUGAUCUGCCCUGCACUUCGGGAUAAGCUUGGGAAACUGGGUCUAAUACCGGAUAGGACCGCACUUUAGUGUGUGUGGAGGAAAGUUUUUUCGGUGUAGGAUGAGCUCGCGGCCUAUCAGCUUGUUGGUGGGGUAAUGGCCUACCAAGGCGGCGACGGGUAGCCGGCCUGAGAGGGUGUACGGCCACAUUGGGACUGAGAUACGGCCCAGACUCCUACGGGAGGCAGCAGUGGGGAAUAUUGCACAAUGGGCGCAAGCCUGAUGCAGCGACGCCGCGUGGGGGAUGAAGGCCUUCGGGUUGUAAACUCCUUUCGCUAGGGACGAAGCUUUUUGUGACGGUACCUAGAUAAGAAGCACCGGCUAACUACGUG
rnacentral:rRNA from 1 species